AAAAUUCUCCAAUAAAGCUCAAGAUGUUUUAUUCUUGCGUUCAAUCGAAGUUCUUCUGAACUUUUUCAUGAGGAUCCCGCGAUCUCUAUGAAAGUUUUUCUCAGGAUAUUUUUUGAUUAUUAAUGCAGAUUUUUUCUGGGGACUCCUCUUGAAUUAUUUUCCCUGAAUUCGUCCUAUGUUUUGUAACAUGGUUACAAGAACUACGUCAAACCUUCAUAUUAACAAUAUCCUCAAACGCCAAAAAUAAAAUAAAAAAAGAAUUCGAAGCAUGGGAUACGCAAGGGUUAUUUCGCACUUUUAUAUUACUCAUGCGCCCCUGGUGGUGGGUGAUGAAACCACAACUUUUAAAACCUUUCGGGUAACUUUGUUUUGAUCUGCUCAUCACUUUGAACCAUGACUAGAAGCUUCAUCAGUUCUUAUACAAACUGAUGAGCUAAUGAGUUAAAACAAAAGAAAUAAUAGGGGCGUCGCGUCGUAUAGCUUACAUGACAAGCAGCGUUAACCGAUCCAAACUUCCUCAUUCAAUCGGUGUCCAAGCUACAGAUAGCUACAGCUAUAGUGGAUCGUAGCCCAAGUGAGUGGUGCAUAGGUGACUAGAAGCGAAGAGUUAUACCCUAAAAAUAUAUAUUGUACUUUCAGCUAUACUCUAAGCCACCAGUUAAAUAACAAGUUUUUGAUAUAGGCCCUAGUGCGAGUUUUAAAUCAAAAUUUUGCGAAAACUCAAAUUCUGUGCCGUACCAGAGUACCGCACGAGCAGCGUACCCUCGAGGCGAAGGUAAAUUUAAUUGUGCUUCAAUUUGAUAGAAAAAAAAUCGUGUGUGACUAGUGACUAAUAUACAGCUUGUAAUGCGAACGUUAUGUAUUUUCUAUUUGAAGGACGCAAUCAUCCUUCAAGUGAAGGUGCUACGUCGGGGUGUAGGGGAUAGUACCACGCUGGGCUAUCUCUAGGGACGAACCUGAAGCCCGGCGGCUUGUAGGCCUGCCCUCGUCGUCGAGCCCGUGUUCAGCCCUCUGCGCACCCAGGGCCAACCGAAGGUUUCAGACCUUCUAAGGGACAUUCGGUAGUCUAUUUCCGAAUCGAUCCCGUACCGCCUCGAAGGGUAUUACGGGGCGAGAAGACCGCGUACGUCGACAGCUAAUCCCAGACAUCCGACACAGUGGGA